rnacentral:rRNA from 1 species
GCAAGUCGAACGGUAUGCAUGGUGCUUGCACUGUGCUGAGAGUGGCGAACUGGUGAGUAACACGUAGGUGAUCUACCUUGAGGCCUGGGAGAGCCUGUGGAAACACAGGGUAAGACCGGAUGAGCCCCUGUACUUGCGGGUAGAGGGGGAAAGGUGCUAUGGCACCGCCUUAAGAUGAGCCUGCGUCCCAUUAGUUAGUUGGUGGGGUAAAGGCCUACCAAGGCGACGAUGGGUAGCCGGCCUGAGAGGGUGAUCGGCCACACUGGGACUGAGACACGGCCCAGACUCCUACGGGAGGCAGCAGCUAAGAAUCUUCCGCAAUGGACGAAAGUCUGACGGAGCGACGCCGCGUGAACGAAGAAGGCCGGAAGGUUGUAAAGUUCUUUUGCGGGUGAAGAAUAAGGCGAGGAGGGAAUGCCUCGCUGAUGACGUUAGCCUGUGAAUAAGCCCCGGCUAAUUACGUGCCAGCAGCCGCGGUAACACGUAAGGGGCGAGCGUUGUUCGGAAUUAUUGGGCGUACAGGGCGUGUAGGCUGUUUUGUAAGCCUGGUGUGAAAGUGCACGGCUUAACUGUGUAUGUGCGCUGGGAACUGCAAGACUAGAGUCCGGAAGGGGGAGGUAGAAUUCCUGGUGUAGGGGUGAAAUCUGUAGAUAUCAGGAAGAAUA